ACAAGCGGUGGAUGAUGUGGUUUAAUUCGAUGCAACGACGAAAACCUUACCCACCUUUGACAUGGCAGGAAUCCCGAAGAGAUUUGGGAGUGCUCGAAAGAGAACCUGCACACAGGUGCUGCAUGGCUGUCGUCAGCUCGUGUCGUGAGAUGUUGGGUUAAGUCCCGCAACGAGCGCAACCCUUGCCAUUAGUUGCUACGAAAGGGCACUCUAAUGGGACUGCCGGUGACAAACCGGAGGAAGGUGGGGAUGACGUCAAGUCCUCAUGGCCCUUAUAGGUGGGGCUACACACGUCAUACAAUGGCCGGUACAGAGGGUAGCCAACCCGCGAGGGGGAGCCAAUCCCACAAAGCCGGUCGUAGUCCGGAUCGCAGUCUGCAACUCGACUGCGUGAAGUCGGAAUCGCUAGUAAUCGCGGAUCAGCAUGUCGCGGUGAAUACGUUCCCGGGUCUU
rnacentral:rRNA from 1 species